UGACGUAGAGAGUCGAGAAAUAAACUGCUCACAUAUUCUGGGAGUUGAAGUCUGUGAAGCUGAAACCUGCACUUGGUCAGCUUCUGGUGAGGGGGAUAUGGGAUUCUGCAGAGGAGCCUGGGCUUUCCCCGAUGCCAACGUGUCAGCCUUGGCUUGCCUCUUCCUCUGAGGGCAGCUGGAGGCAGAAUCUGACCAGAUUUUCACUUUCCACCAAGGUUACAGCUCCAGGAUUUAGGACGGUGCUGUACACAGCAGGUGUUCUGACAGACGUCAGAACAGUGUGACAUCUCUUCCUGAGAGACAUGCUUUCUUUCUGGCUGGCAAGAGGAUUCCAGACUUCUCAAUCUCCUGGUUAGAGACAACAACUGCAAAUUCCAAUUCUUUGGAAUCCAUCGUCUUAGUUUGAUGCUGCGGGAAGAGCCAAGUGUCUCUUUAAAAUCUCAUCUUUUCUGCCAGCCUUCAUAUACUCUGCAACAGGCUGCACUAGAGCACGGGGAACGCCCAACUGUGGAAGGAGUCAUAGCCCGAGGCUUUUUAACACUGUAUGAUGGGAGUUUCUGUGCUUGAAGAUCUACAUGGCGUUUCUGAAAAGCAAAACCGAGCGGGCUGUGGCCACACCAACAGAGGUCGUCCAGCUUUCCCCCUGAUGAAACUAAAAGCUUAAACGGA